CAGUUCCCUCUGCGCUCCUCGAAGGUGUUAGUUGUCAAUAUGGCUGUUGUCAGACAGACAAAGCGGAGAGGCAAAUAAUUCGCCUCUGAUUAGAAAUCCUUGGAAAAGGGUCGUGCAGGGCACUGCCAUCAAACUGCGUUAUAAUUCGGCAGCAGUAAAAGACACCGCUUGGCUUGUGCUUUACUUUUAAAGUUAAAUGGUGAAGUGGACUAUUUGAACCGAGCAGCAGCAGCAGCAGGAUGUCCGACUUCAGUGAGGAGCCGCGCUUCACCAUCGAGCAGAUAGACCUGCUGCAGCGGCUGCGUCGCACCGGCAUGACGAAGCAGGAGAUCCUGCACGCGCUCGACACUCUGGACCGGCUGGACCGGGAGCACGGCGACAAGUUCUGCCGCCGCACCUCUUCCUCCUCGUCCACCUACCUCGUAGGCGGGGCCAACAGCUCCGCUGCCAAAACAACCGCCACAUCCUUCAACAAUAACGCCACUGCCUCGGCAACAACCACCACCACCUCCUCCUCCUCGGCGACGUGCAACGGCGGCGAAGGCGGCGACCACUCCUCCUCCUCCUCCUCCCUCGUCGUGGUCGCCGCCGCCGUCGCCUCGUCCACCACCUCCAAAAUCUCCACGGCCACGCAAACGCAGUUCAACAACAGCGGCGGGGGGCUGUCCCCGUCGCCCAGCAACAGCUACGACACGUCCCCGCCCUCGGCCGUGCUGCCGUCGCCCGUGGCGCUGGUGGCGCUGUCGCAGAACGGACGGGACAGCCUGGCCGCCACGCCCAACGGGAAGCUGUCCCCGCCUCGCUACCCGGUGAACAGCGCGGCGGCGUCCAGGGCGUUCGGCUUCGAAACCGCAGAGGAAGACUUGGACGUGGACGACAAGGUGGAGGAGCUGAUGAGACGGGACAGCAGUCUGGUCAAAGAGGAGAUCAAAGCUUUCCUGGGGAACCGGAGGAUUUCUCAGGCUGUCGUGGCUCAAGUGACCGGCAUCAGUCAGAGCAGGAUCUCCCAUUGGCUGCUGCAGCACGGCUCCGACCUGAGCGAGCAGAAGAAGAGGGCUUUCUACCGCUGGUACAUCCUGGAGAAAACCACGCCAGGUGCCACUCUGAACAUGCGGCCAGCACCGCUGCCUCUGGAGGAGAUGGAGUGGAGGCAAACCCCGCCGCCCCUCGCCACCGCCCCCGGGACCUUCCGACUGCGUCGGGGAAGCCGCUUCACCUGGAGGAAGGAGUGCCUGGCUGUGAUGGAGAGCUACUUCAAUGACAACCAGUACCCAGAUGAAGCCAAAAGAGAGGAGAUAGCCAACGCCUGCAAUGCUGUUAUUCAGAAACCAGGGAAGAAGCUGUCUGAUCUGGAGAGGGUGACCUCCCUGAAAGUCUACAACUGGUUCGCUAACCGGCGCAAGGAGAUCAAGAGACGAGCUAAUAUCGAAGCAACAAUCCUGGAGAGUCAUGGGAUAGACGUUCAGAGUCCAGGUGGACACUCCAACAGCGACGACAUCGAUGGGAAUGACUUUGCAGAGCAGGCCUGCGACCUGCCCUACUUCGACAAGAGACCUCUCAGCCGACCGUUUGGCCUUUACCGCCUGGAGCCCACCUCACCUACACAGGACGACAGUGCAGCUCACAACGAGCAUCAGGACCCCAUCUCUCUGGCCGUGGAGAUGGCCGCCGUCAACCACACCAUCUUGGCGCUGUCCAGAACCGGAGGCGUGCCCAACGACAUCAAGACCGAGUCCCUGGAGGAUGAAUGAGGCGCUCAGGAACAAAGCCCAGUCGAGACGGGGGACGACAGGGAGCGUUUAAAAAGACAGAGCAAAAAAAAGAAAAGACCAAAAUAAUCCGACUUAGUAAAAUCGUCUCCGCUCCUCCCAGAACUUCCAUGUAAAACAAUGAUUACCCCCACCUCUCCUUCCUCUCCCCCCACUAUUUUACUCACUAUACUGACCCAGCUGGCGGACAUUGCUACUGUAGGCUUUGUGACAGAAGCAGCAGCAGCCGGUUGUGAACCUCCCGCCUAACGGCGGCUCCUCUCUGGGACCGGGUCUCCCAGGAACUCCUCUCCCUUCCCAAAACAGGAUACCUCUUCUUCUUCUUCUUCUUCAGUUUUUCUCUCCUCUUCCUUCCCCCAGCAGCCUGGUCGUCUGAGCCGAUCCUCAGUCUCACCUCAACCUCAGAAAAACUAAACGACGCACUGUGUAUAUAUAAUAAACUUCUAAAGGUUCUCAGUCACCCUCACCUCAUGACAUACUACCUACACCCUCAGAUUCACCUCUUCGCAGUGCAGAGCAUCAGAAGAGGAGCCGUCCGCUGAUGAAGAGCGCCUCCUCCUCUUCCUGUCCGGCUGCGAGGCGGUCGUUCGGGGAUCGUUUGACCCCGGCGCAGGUCCGGCCAGUCUCUACCGAAGUUCUGCUUUCCUUUCCCUCGCAGUCGCGCUGCUGCAUUCGAUCGACGCCAAACCAACUUUGCAAAAUGUCUGUUAAGAAGUAGCCUUACCUCCCCACUGCUGGUUGUUCAUAUCCCACCGUUCCAAAGCGCACAAACAAAAUCUGCACAGUUCAAGUUACUACCCAACAACAGCAGCUGCAGCAGGGUUUUUUUUUUUUGUUUUUGGUUUUUUUUUCCUCCCUAGUCUCUGGUGUUAAACUCCCCUUGGAGUCGUUGAGGAUGAAUCAACCUCCCUAAGAUGUCCAGUAAGGGAACAGUUGCUUUGUUUUCCAUGCCAUCCAUGCCAAAGGAAGUGGCUCUGUGCUGAGUGAACCCAAAGCGAUCUCUUAACUCCUUUGGUGUCGAUUCCUCCUCGGUGUUCAGUGAAGCCUCUCCAGCUGCAGUAGGGUCGACACUACAGCAGGCCUGUGUCUGGACUGCAUUUGGCUGUCCUCCAUUGUCCGACUGAGCAACAGUUUCAUGAAAAGGCCAACAAAGAUGCACCUUAUGAAAAGUAUUGAUGAGUAAGCUUGAGCUGUAACCUCCA